CUCUAUGGCCAUACCACCAUGAACGCGCCCGAUCUCGUCUGAUCUCGGAAGCUAAGCAGAGUCGGGCCUGGUUAGUAACUUGGAUGGGAGAAAUCAGGAUCCGGAUGCUAGGUAUGCUCAUUGUUACUGUAGUGU
rnacentral:rRNA from 1 species